rnacentral:rRNA from 1 species
CGCGUAGGUGGCGGGACAAGCGUGCGGUGAAAGCCUGGGGCUCAACCCCGGGUCGGCCGUGCGAACUGUUUUGCUUGAGCACUGUAGAGGCAGGCGGAAUUCCGGGUGUAGCGGUGGAAUGCGUAGAGAUCCGGAAGAACACCGGUGGCGAAGGCGGCCUGCUGGGCAGUAGCUGACACUGAGGCGCGACAGCGUGGGGAGCAAACA